AGGUUGGUUCCUGAGCACUGAAAUUCUUUGCUCGCAAGGCCACAUCGCUGAAAAUGCUUUUGACGACUUGAUGUACUGGCAGUGGUAAGAAGGCCAAUGAUAAGGAAGGUCGGUGCGGUUUCGCCCCGGCCUUGUUUGUU
rnacentral:sRNA from 1 species